rnacentral:rRNA from 1 species
UGGGGAAUUUUGGACAAUGGGCGAAAGCCUGAUCCAGCAAUGCCGCGUGUGUGAAGAAGGCCUUCGGGUUGUAAAGCACUUUUGUCCGGAAAGAAAUCCUUGGCUCUAAUACAGUCGGGGGAUGACGGUACCGGAAGAAUAAGCACCGGCUAACUACGUGCCAGCAGCCGCGGUAAUACGUAGGGUGCAAGCGUUAAUCGGAAUUACUGGGCGUAAAGCGUGCGCAGGCGGUUUGCUAAGACCGAUGUGAAAUCCCCGGGCUCAACCUGGGAACUGCAUUGGUGACUGGCAGGCUAGAGUAUGGCAGAGGGGGGUAGAAUUCCACGUGUAGCAGUGAAAUGCGUAGAGAUGUGGAGGAAUACCGAUGGCGAAGGCAGCCCCCUGGGCCAAUACUGACGCUCAUGCACGAAAGCGUGGGGAGCAAACAGGAUUAGAUACCCUGGUAGUCCACGCCCUAAACGAUGUCAACUAGUUGUUGGGGAUUCAUUUCCUUAGUAACGUAGCUAACGCGUGAAGUUGACCGCCUAGGGAGUACGGUCGCAAGAUUAAAACUCAAAGGAAUUGACGGGGUCAUAGCUGUUUCCU